CAAAUAAAUAAGUAGGCUGGGCACAGUGGCCCAUGCCAGUAAGCGCUUUGGGAGGCCAAGGCAGUAAGAUUGCUUGAGGCCAGGAGUUCAAGACCAGUGUGGGCAACAUAGCAAUACCUCCUGUCUACCAAAAAAAAAAAAGCAAAAAAAAACACUAAAAAGUAACUGGGUAUGGUGGCCUGUGCCUAUAGUCCCAGCUACUCAGGAGGCAGAGGUGGGAUUGCUUGAGCCUAGGAAUUUGAGGUUACAGUGGGCUAUGAUUGCAUCACUGCACUCCAGCUAGGGCAACAGAGCAAGACCCUAUCUCUACCAAAAAAUUAAAUAAUAAGUAAACCGGCGAAGCGAGCACGUGCAGCCUGUUGGCUCCGCCAGUCUUUCUGUCAUUGCUUGUUAAGUCUCAGUGGUGUUGACUGUGCCUUUUGUAAACAGUGUUGAAUGGCAUUAACUGGAAUGUGGUAGCCUGACUAUUUAUUUGACAGUCCAAACCAGGUUGCAGAGAAGGUGGCCUCCAGAAUCGCCGAGGGCUUCAGCGACACUGCACUCAUCAUGGUAGACAACACCAAGUUUACGAUGGACUGCGUAGCGCCUACGAUCCACGUGUACGAGCACCACGAGAACAGAUGGCGGUGCAGAGACCCACACCAUGACUACUGUGAAGACUGGCCAGAGGCACAGAGGAUCUCAGCCUCGCUCCUGGACAGCCGGUCCUACGAGACGCUCGUGGAUUUCGAUAACCACCUGGAUGACAUUCGGAAUGACUGGACAAACCCAGAAAUCAAUAAAGCUGUCCUGCACUUGUGCUAGGCAGGCACCGCUGUGACUGGGCUCCGGGCCUUUCCACUACGUUGAA
rnacentral:sRNA from 1 species